rnacentral:misc_RNA from 1 species
GACAAAUGCAUGAUUCAGGCCUUGGGCAGACACAUAUUGAUCCAAUUAGAGCCAAUAAUGCUCUUGAUCAGGUGAUGAUGGAGCAGCGUCUUUUACAUGAGCUACAGCAACAAUCUCAUCAUCAACAAAGAUCUGUUGAUCCAUCUUUUGAGCAGCUUUUCAAAGCGAAGUUUGGUCACUUGCCACCACACCAAGAACAAAGAGAUUUGUCUGAAUUAAUAUCUCGGGCUCAGCA